GCUCUCUUGAGCAUGAGAGAACAAGAACAAGACAUAAAAACAGCUCCUCAGAGAAGUUUUGGAAUCAUUACAAGUUGUGUCAAGACAGAUAUCAUGAUGGAGAGCAUGCUGGAGUAUGCAGUGAUACUCUUGUGGCUUCAGCUUGGCUGGUUGAGUGGAGAAGACCAGGUGGAGCAAAGUCCUCAGACCCUGAGGAUCCAGGAACGAGAGAGUGUCAGCCUCAAAUGCAGUUACACAGUCAGCUCUUUCAGAGCGCUGCAGUGGUACAGGCAAGAUCCUGGGAAAGGCCCCAAAUUCCUCUUCAACCUGUAUUCAGUUGGGAAAGAACAGCAGAAUGAAAGACUAACGGCUGUGCUUUCAGAGAAGGGGAGUUCUCUGCACAUCAAAACCCCUAAAGCUGAAGACUCAGCCACUUACCUCUGUGCUGUGGAGGCACAGUGUUCCCCAGGCACCUGCACCCUCUACCAAAACCCUGCAGCUGAGCCUCUGGAAUAAGGGCAUCUCUGCUGUUUUUCCUCCUCGAUGAAGUAUUUACUUAGCACCCAGAACUUCUUUCCAAGUGGUCCAAUGGAGAAUGAAAUCUUGUGACAUAGCCAGAUGGCAGAGAUUACUGU